UACGGAAGGUCCGGGCGUUAUCCGGAUUUAUUGGGUUUAAAGGGAGCGUAGGCCGGAGAUUAAGCGUGUUGUGAAAUGUAGAUGCUCAACAUCUGCACUGCAGCGCGAACUGGUUUCCUUGAGUACGCACAAAGUGGGCGGAAUUCGUGGUGUAGCGGUGAAAUGCUUAGAUAUCACGAAGAACUCCGAUUGCGAAGGCAGCUCACUGGAGCGCAACUGACGCUGAAGUUCGAAAGUGCGGGUAUCGAACAGG
rnacentral:rRNA from 1 species